CCUACGGGAGGCAGCAGUGAGGAAUAUUGGUCAAUGGACGCAAGUCUGAACCAGCCAUGCCGCGUGCAGGAAGACGGCUCUAUGAGUUGUAAACUGCUUUUGUACGAGGGUAAACGCAGAUACGCGUAUCUGUCUGAAAGUAUCGUACGAAUAAGGAUCGGCUAACUCCGUGCCAGCAGCCGCGGUAAUACGGAGGAUUCAAGCGUUAUCCGGAUUUAUUGGGGUUAAAGGGUGCGUAGGCGGUCGGAUAAGUUAGAGGUGAAAUCCCGAGGCUCAACUUCGGAAUUGCCUGUGAUACUGUUCGGCGAGAGAGUAGUUGCGGUAGGCGGAAUGUAUGGUGUAGCGGUGAAAUGCUUAGAGAUCAUACAGAACACCGGUUGCGAAGGCAGCUUACCAGGCUACUUCUGACGUUGAGGCACGAAAGCGUGGGGAGCAAACAGGAUUAGAUACCCUAGUAGUC
rnacentral:rRNA from 1 species